AGUGAACGCUGGCGGUAGGCCUAACACAUGCAAGUCGAACGGCAGCACAGUAAGAGCUUGCUCUUACGGGUGGCGAGUGGCGGACGGGUGAGGAAUACAUCGGAAACUACUUUUUCGUGGGGGAUAACGUAGGGCAACUUCCGAUACUACCGAAUACGUUCUACGGGAGAAAGCAGGGGAUCAUCGGACUUUGCGUGUCUCAUUGAGAUGAUGUCGGAUUAGCUAGUUGGCGAGGUAAAGGAACACCAAGGCAACGAUCCGUAGCUGAUCUGAGAGGAUGAUCAGCCACACUGGAACUGAGACACGGUCCAGACUCCUACGGGAGGCAGCAGUAGGGAAUAUUGGACAAUGGGCGCAAGCCUGAUCCAGCCAUACCGCGUGAGUGAAGAAGGCCUUCGGGUUGUAAAGCCCUGUUGUUGGGGAAGAAAAGCAGCAUGUUAAUACCCCGCUGUUCUGACGGUACCCAAAGAAUAAGCACCGGCUAACUUCGUG
rnacentral:rRNA from 1 species